rnacentral:rRNA from 1 species
GACGAACGCUGGCGGCGUGCUUAACACAUGCAAGUCGAACGGCAAGGCCCUGCUUUUGUGGGGUGCUCGAGUGGCGAACGGGUGAGUAACACGUGUGUAACCUGCCCUUGACUUUGGGAUAACUUCAGGAAACUGGGGCUACUACCGGAUAGGAGCUCCUGCUGCAUUGUGGGGGUUGGAAAUUUUCGGCUGUUGGGGAUGGACUCGCGGCUGAUCAGCUUGUUGGUGGGGUAGUGACUUACCCAGGCUUUGACGGGUACCGGGCCUGAGAGGGUGAGCGGCGACAUUGGGACUGAGAUGCGGCCGAGACGCGGAAGGGAGGCAGCAGUGGGGAAUAUUGCACAAUGCGCGGAAGCCUGAUGAAGCAAGGCCGCGUGCGGGAUAGCGGCCUUCGGGGUGUAAACAGGUUUCGCCUGAGACGAAGGGUGAGUGACGGUAAUGGGUAAAGAAGGAACGGCUAAAUACGUG